CGAGCGCUACCUUCGGGUGGAGCGGCGGACGGGUUAGUAACGCGUGGGAACAUACCCUUUUCUACGGAAUAGCCUCGGGAAACUGAGAGUAAUACCGUAUAAGCCCUUCGGGGGAAAGAUUUAUCGGGAAAGGAUUGGCCCGCGUUAGAUUAGAUAGUUGGUGGGGUAAUGGCCUACCAAGUCUACGAUCUAUAGCUGGUUUUAGAGGAUGAUCAGCAACACUGGGACUGAGACACGGCCCAG
rnacentral:rRNA from 1 species